rnacentral:rRNA from 1 species
UACGGGGGGGGCAAGCGUUGUUCGGAAUUACUGGGCGUAAAGGGCUCGUAGGCGGCCAACUAAGUCACACGUGAAAUCCCCAGGCUCAACCUGGGAACUGCGUCUGAUACUGGUUGGCUUGAAUCCGGGAGAGGGAUGCAGAAUUCCAGGUGUAGCGGUGAAAUGCGUAGAUAUCUGGAGGAAUACCGGUGGCGAAGGCGGCAUCCUGGACCGGCAUUGACGCUGAGGAGCGAAAGCCAGGGGAGCAAACAGG